rnacentral:tRNA from 1 species
GCCCGGGUGGCUCAGUUGGUUGAGCAUCUGACUUUGGCUCAGGUCAUGAUCUCACAGCUCGUGAGUUCAAGCCUCACCUCAGGUU